AGACAGGGAACAGGGUGGCUGGAGAGAGCCCUGCUUCCCUUCUCCAUCCUUGCUCCCUCAGGCUUCACUUCCCAACAGGCCAAGGAAAAGUAACUCUGCCGGGGGCACCUCCAAGACACCCAGGACAUUCUUGAUAAAUCUGUCCGCAGAAGCAGUCCUGCAUGAGUCAAGGAAAUCACCUGAUGGCCAGCGAGCCAAGGCUAACCGAGCAUUUUCAACAUGCCUGCUACCACUCGGCACAGGCACCCUGACGGCCCUGGGAAUGCAAAGUGGGGUUCAUGUCUUCUCAUGGAGCAGGGCACCAGCAGACUCUGGCCUCUUGGAUCUCCUUGCACAAUUGAACACAGCCAGGAUUCCUGGAAGUCUUGCUCAAGAGCGGUAAGGUCCUGAACUUCGUUUAUUAAUGACACUGAUAAAUAAAUGAAAAGCAAUAGGAUAUUGGAGUAUACGAGGAAGCCAUUUGGUGUAAAACUAAUUCAGCCUGAACUUAUUUUUUCCAAAAGGGCCUGACAUGGUCAUUG
rnacentral:lncRNA from 1 species